rnacentral:rRNA from 1 species
AAUAUUGGACAAUGGGGGCAACCCUGAUCCAGCCAUGCCGCGUGUGUGAAGAAGUUCUUCGGAUUGUAAAGCACUUUAAGUUGGGUGGAAGGGCUUUAGGCUAAUACCCUGAAGUUUUGACGUUACUAAUAGAAUAAGCACCGGCUAACUCUGUGCGAGCAGCCGCGGUAAUACAGAGGGUGCAAGCGUUAAUCGGAAUUACUCGGCGUAAAACGCACGGAGGUGGGUCAGGUAGAUUGGUGUUGAAACCCCCGGGUUUACCUGGGAAUUGCUUUCAAAACUGACGAGCUAGAGUACGGUAGAGGGUAGUGGAAUUUCCUGUGUAGCGGUGAAAUGCGUAGAUAUAGGAAGGAACAUCAGUGGCGAAGGCGACUACCUGGACUGAUACUGACACUGAGGUGCGAAAGCGUGAGGAGCAAACA